rnacentral:lncRNA from 1 species
AUAUCUAUGAAGCCUCCCACUGCGGCGCGGCAAGGCCACUAUCUUCCGUAAGAGUCGAUAAAAAUCCAAGUUUCCUUGGAUUUGAGCCAUUUUCUCGGAUAAUGCACAUUUCAAAAUCGCGGAUUCUCAGUGCUGGGGGACCACUUAACCUGUAGCUACGACCCUGAGAUGUUUUGUUACCAGAAGGACAUUUUUCGGCAAGUAUCUCGAUUGGUUUUCGCAGAUUUCUCUUUUCACCGUCCAAAAUGGACACCCUACUGAACCUGUUCUGCCCUCAAAAAAUCCUUAAUGAAAAUUUCACAUAUCGUGCAUAACUGCCGUUGGUCCUCUUCUGGAAACAAAGCACUUACAGAGCUUCAAGAUGUUAGAUUGCAAAUGCUGCUGCAAGCAACUACCGCAAUCUCCUUAAGUAUAAAUUUGAUAGUAUCUGCGGGCCUGUAUAGGAUGAAAACCUAACAAGAGGGAAUCCAGAAUCAAACGCAGAUUUAAAUAGUUACUAAGCAUAUAUUUUUCCAGUAAAAUUUAAAGGCUCAAUCUUAACAAAAAUGGUAUUUGCACACAGUUGCAAACAAUUUAGCUUUAUAUACAUACUUACAAAAUUGAGUUGUAAUGAAAACCUAAAGAGAUGGCAAAAUCAAAGAGGAGUUUGGGAAGAUAAAUAGUGAUUUAAAGAGGACACAGAGAGGAAAUUAAGCGUGUCUUGUAAAACAUAAGUAAUGAAAGGCUUGAGAUCUUUAAGAAAGGGACGAUCGCCGCCAAUAGACAAAUAAGUAAACAACUCUGCAGUAUUUUUAAGAAACUUUGAUUGUCAUACGUCUAGCGCUUUUUUCCCUGGAAAAGGUUCUCAUACUUAAAAUGAGAGAUCAUAACAUUAUUGCAAUCAAUACAGGGGUAGCGUUUUCAUGUGUAAAUUUUUCUUCUCAAUCAAAAGAAAACCAGGCCUGGAUGCGAGCAUGCGAGCGAAGAAAAGUCACCUACUACCCCUCUAACUUUUUUCCUAAUUGAUAUAGAAAUUUGAAACUUCGGGGAGUUCCUAGGUGUAAAGUAGCAACUAUUUGGUUUCCCUCUUGAGGGCAGGUGCAACUUUUCUUUUUCGACUACAACCCACCUCACCUUGUGAC